UCGAGCGCCUUAGGUCUUGUCUUCAAAACCAGUGCGGCCGUGCAACCCACGGCUCGGUCGGUUCGACUCCGGCGCCGCUC
rnacentral:tRNA from 1 species